UCCGGUUGAUCCUGCCAGAGGCUACUGCUAUCGGGGUCCGACUAAGCCAUGCGAGUUGAGAGGGGUAAGCCCUCGGCAUAUUGCUCAGUAACACGCGGAUAACCUGCCCUUGGGUUUGGGAUAACCCCGGGAAACUGGGACUAAUACCGGAUAGAUCAAAGAAACUGGAAUGUUCUCUGAUCGAAAGCUCCGGCGCCCAAGGAUGGGUCUGCGGCCUAUCAGGUAGUAGUGGGUGUAACGUACCUACUAGCCUACGACGGGUAAGGGUUGUGAGAGCAAGAGCCCUGAGAUGGAUUCUGAGACAUGAAUCCAGGCCCUACGGGGUGCAGCAGGCGCGAAAACUUUACACUGCGGGAAACCGCGAUAAGGGGACCCCGAGUGCCAGCACCUAGUGCUGGCUGUCCAGCUGUUCAAAUAACAGUUGUUAGCAAGGGCCGGGCAAGACCGGUGCCAGCCGCCGCGGUAACACCGGCGGCCCGAGUGGUAGCCGUUAUUAUUGGGUUUAAAGGGUCCGUAGCCGGCCUAUUAAGUCUCUUGGGAAAUCUGGCGACUCAAUCGUCAGGCGUUCAAGAGAUACUGGUAGGCUUGGGACCGGGAGAGGUGGGAGGUACUCCAGGGGUAGGGGUGAAAUCUCGUAAUCCUUGGGGGACCACCGAUGGCGAAGGCAUCCCACCAGAACGGGUCCGACGGUGAGGGACGAAAGCUGGGGGCACGAACCGGAUUAGAUACCCGGGUAGUCCCAGCCGUAAACGAUGCUCGCUAGGUGUCAGGUGCGGUGCGACCGCAUCUGGUGCCGCAGUGAAAACUUGAAGCGAGUCACCUGGGAAGUACGGUCGCAAGGCUGAAACUUAAAGGAAUUGGCGGGGGAGCACUACAACGGGUGGAGCUUGCGGUUCAAUUGGAUUCAACGCCGGG
rnacentral:rRNA from 1 species